rnacentral:rRNA from 1 species
GCCCAACCGUAAACUUUAACUUACAACCCAACCGCCAGAGAACUACGAGCCUAGCUUGAAACUCAAAGGACUUGACGGUUCCCCACAUCCUUCUAGAGGAGCCUGUCCUACAAUCGAUAACCCCCGUUAAACCUCACCCCUCUUAGCCUAUUCAGCCUGUAUACUUCCGUCGCAAGCCAACCACAUGAGUGAAACUCAGUAGGCUUAAUUGCCCAAUAAGCAUAAACGUCAGGUCAAGGUGCAGCAAACAGAGCGGAAAGAGAUGGGCUACAUUCUCUAAUAUAGAGCAUACGAAAAGCUAUAUGAAACCCAGCUAUGAAGGCGGAUUUAGUAGUAAGGGGGGAAUAGAGCGCCCCCCUUAACCCGGCCCUGGGGUGCGUACACACCGCCCGUCAUCCUCCUCAAAGCCACUCACAAGUACUUAACGCCAAACAGCUACAAGAGGAGGCAAGUAGUAACA